rnacentral:tRNA from 1 species
GCCUGGCUGGCUCAGUCAGUGGAGCGUGCGACUCUUAAUCUCGGGGUUGUGAGUUCGAGUCCCAUGUUGGGGG